UACGUAGGGUGCAAGCGUUGUCCGGAAUUAUUGGGCGUAAAGAGCUCGUAGGCGGUCUGUCGCGUCUGCUGUGAAAACUCGGGGCUUAACCCCGGGCCUGCAGUGGGUACGGGCAGACUAGAGUGCGGUAGGGGAGACUGGAAUUCCUGGUGUAGCGGCGAAAUGCGCAGAUAUCAGGAGGAACACCGGUGGCGAAGGCGGGUUGCUGGGCUGAUACUGACGCUGAGGCGCGAAAGCGUGGGGAGCAAACAGG
rnacentral:rRNA from 1 species